ACCAUCUCUCUCUUGUAACCAUCGAUUUUUCACCUUCUGCAAUUUCUAUCUCUCUCUCUUUUGCUAACAUCACUUCAUCCUCAAUAUCUCUCACUUUCACAAUCGACCCUCUUUCCGUCCCACUUCUUACGACAGCAUACAAUGGACAAACGAUCUAACCGAUCUAAUAACCAAGUGCAGUUGUCCACCACAUACUCUGUCUGACCCGCCUUACCCCUCCGUAGGCGACCAACACGGCGGUCUAGUUCUGGAGACCCUCUAACCGAGCUUGUAGAUCCAAAACCCACGAGGUAGCCACAAGUCAGAGAGUAGAGGAAGACAAGAUUGAAGUCUCUCCAACCGGCUUUGAAGCCCCAAAGGAAGCCACAAGUCAGAGACUAGAGGAAGAAAAAAUUGAAGACUCUCCAACCGAGUAUGUGCUUAUGGACUAGAAGUGUUAUGAUUAUCUGUUUAUUCUUCAAAUUAAUCGUUAAUCUUGGUAGCGAUGGACCAUUUGUCAUUUGUUAGUGAUGGACCAUUGAUGAACUAUUUGCAUAAAUAGACAUGUUGAUAUCUGAUGGACCAAUGUA